AGUUUCCAAACUUCAGAGGUCUGACACCCAGCUCCUUCAGACUGGCCAGCAGCAAUUAGCAAACAGCUGAUGCAAUUGCAUAUCUGUUGAUCUCCUUAUAUAACCUACUUUUCAGUGUAACACUGAUGAAAAUGUUGCUAAAGGGUUUAUAUUGCAGCAAUGUUGUGAUGACUUCCUGAAGGCAAAGUUUCAGAAAAAGGUUUUAAAGAGACAGAGGCCCAAUUUUCAUUUAAGUUAUACUUGAUACCACCGAAUAAAACCCAGUGCCAUUUCAGAAGUCGUCUACAGUUAAGAAAACAACAUCCAAAGCUUUAAACAUCACAAACCUAUCAAGAGAUGACUGGUGGGAGAAUCUGUCAACAAGACAACUACACACAAACCUAACCUUUAAGCCAAAAACAAUAAGAAGCCAAAGGAAGUCCUGCUUAAAGCCAAGCAGGUGCAUGAAGGACAUGUGGAAGACGCUGGUGAAGCUUUCCAUCCAAUGAUUUUUUUAAAACUUUUUUAUUUUCAAUAACUUUCUUAUAUAUAUCUCAUAUACACA